rnacentral:rRNA from 1 species
ACGAACGCUGGCGGCGCGCCUAACACAUGCAAGUCGAACGAGCGAGAGAGAGCUUGCUUUCUUGAGCGAGUGGCGAACGGGUGAGUAACGCGUGAGGAACCUGCCUCAAAGAGGGGGACAACAGUUGGAAACGACUGCUAAUACCGCAUAAGCCCACGACCCGGCAUCGGGUUGAGGGAAAAGGAGCAAUCCGCUUUGAGAUGGCCUCGCGUCCGAUUAGCUAGUUGGUGAGGUAACGGCCCACCAAGGCGACGAUCGGUAGCCGGACUGAGAGGUUGAACGGCCACAUUGGGACUGAGACACGGCCCAGACUCCUACGGGAGGCAGCAGUGGGGAAUAUUGCACAAUGGGGGAAACCCCGAUGCAGCGACGCCGCGUGGAGGAAGAAGGUCUUCGGAUUGUAAACUCCUGUUGUUGAGGAAGAUAAUGACGGUACUCAACAAGGAAGAGACGGCUAACUACGUG